GGACGAACGCUGGCGGCGCGCCUAACACAUGCAAGUCGAACGAGCGAGAGAGAGCUUGCUUUCUCGAGCGAGUGGCGAACGGGUGAGUAACGCGUGAGGAACCUGCCUCAAAGAGGGGGACAACAGUUGGAAACGACUGCUAAUACCGCAUAAGCCCACAGCUCGGCAUCGAGCAGAGGGAAAAGGAGCAAUCCGCUUUGAGAUGGCCUCGCGUCCGAUUAGCUGGUUGGUGAGGUAACGGCCCACCAAGGCAACGAUCGGUAGCCGGACUGAGAGGUUGAACGGCCACAUUGGGACUGAGACACGGCCCAGACUCCUACGGGAGGCAGCAGUGGGGAAUAUUGCACAAUGGGGGAAACCCUGAUGCAGCGACGCCGCGUGGAGGAAGAAGGUCUUCGGAUUGUAAACUCCUGUUGUUGAGGAGGAUAAUGACGGUACUCAACAAGGAAGUGACGGCUAACUACGUG
rnacentral:rRNA from 1 species